rnacentral:rRNA from 1 species
UGGGGAAUAUUGGACAAUGGGCGCAAGCCUGAUCCAGCCACGCCGCGUGAGUGAUGAAGGCCUUCGGGUCGUAAAGCUCUGUGGGGAGAGACGAACCGCCAUUGGUGCAUAGCCAGUGGCAUGACGGUAUCUCCUUAGCAAGCACCGGCUAACUUCGUGCCAGCAGCCGCGGUAAUACGAAGGGUGCAAACGUUGCUCGGAAUCAUUGGGCGUAAAGCGCAUGUAGGCGGUCUAUCAAGUUGGAUGUGAAAUCCCUCGGCUUAACCAAGGAAGUGCAUCCAAAACUGACAGACUUGAGUACCAAAGAGGAUCGCAGAAUUCCCGGUGUAGAGGUGAAAUUCGUAGAUAUCGGGAGGAAUACCGGUGGCGAAGGCGGCGAUCUGGGUGGAUACUGACGCUGAGAUGCGAAAGCGUGGGGAGCAAACAGGAUUAGAUACCCAAGUAGUCCCUG